ACUUAGUUUAGAAGCAUGUAUAUUUAAAAUUACAACAUACUGUUAACACAUUCCAUUUUGACUUUGAACACUUUGAACUAAUUGCACUAAACUUAACUGGUUAAUUAUCAUAAUCAAGUGGCAUUUAGCAGAACUCACAAACAGAAAAAGUGCCACAGGAAGACAGUUUUCAGAAAAUACAAAAACUGAGGUUUGUGGUUUGGACUCUUAACAGCAAAGAUAUCCCUUUAUGUGGUGAGCUCUGCUAACAAAAAGUAUUUGUCAACUUCUUGCCAAUAGAUAGCCAAGAAGUAUGAGAUGUGAAUCUAUUCAAUUCAAAGAUGGAAAUAACAGGCAGUCACAAGAACAUCACCGUACAAUGAAGGACAUUAAAUACAUUGGUGUUCCUGGCUGCUCCUUUGUCUGCUGUGGUACUAGGUUU
rnacentral:lncRNA from 1 species